UAAGGGAUAUUGGACAAUGGGGGAAACCCUGAUCCAGCCAUGCCGCGUGGGUGAAGAAGGCCUUCGGGUUGUAAAGCCCUUUCAGUGGUGAAGAUGAUGACGGUAACCACAGAAGAAGCUCCGGCUAACUUCGUGCCAGCAGCCGCGGUAAUACGAAGGGGGCGAGCGUUGUUCGGAAUCACUGGGCUUAAAGCGUACGUAGGCGGCCACACAAGUCAGGAGUGAAAUCCCAGGGCUCAACCCUGGAAUUGCUUUUGAAACUAGGUGGCUCGUGUCCCGGAGAGGUUGGCGGAAUUCCGAGUGUAGAGGUGAAAUUCGCAGAUAUUCGGAGGAACACCAGUGGCGAAGGCGGCCAACUGGACGGGUACAGACGCUGAGGUACGAAAGCGUGGGGAUCAAACAGG
rnacentral:rRNA from 1 species